rnacentral:rRNA from 1 species
UACGUAGGGGGCAAGCGUUGUCCGGAAUCAUUGGGCGUAAAGCGCACGUAGGCGGCCCUGUAAGUCCGUUGUGAAAGUCAAAGGCUCAACCUUUGAAUGCCGAUGGAUACUGCAGGGCUAGAGUCCGGAAGAGGCGAGUGGAAUUCCUGGUGUAGCGGUGGAAUGCGCAGAUAUCAGGAGGAACACCAAUAGCGAAGGCAGCUCGCUGGAACGGUACUGACGCUAAGGUGCGAAAGCGUGGGGAGCGAACAGG